GGAUUGUGGCUUAGCGGUAGAGCGCUCAUCUAGCAUGUGUGAGGCCCUGGGUUCCAUCCUCAGCACCA
rnacentral:tRNA from 1 species